rnacentral:rRNA from 1 species
AUUGAACGCUGGCGGCAUGCCUAACACAUGCAAGUCGAACGGAGGGCUUCGGCCCUCAGUGGCGGACGGGUGAGUAACGCGUAGGGAUCUGCCCCGCAGUGGGGGACAACCUGGGGAAACUCAGGCUAAUACCGCAUACGCUCCAUGGAGGAAAGCGGGGGACCUUCGGGCCUCGCGCUGCGGGAUGAACCUACGUCCGAUUAGCUAGUUGGUGGGGUAACGGCCCACCAAGGCGACGAUCGGUAGCUGGUCUGAGAGGACGGCCAGCCACACUGGGACUGAGACACGGCCCAGACUCCUACGGGAGGCAGCAGUGGGGAAUUUUGGACAAUGGGGGGCAACCCUGAUCCAGCCAUUCCGCGUGAGUGAAGAAGGCCUCGGGUUGUAAGCUCUUUCUAGCAGGAACGAAACGGUAGGCCAUUAAUACUGGCUACUAAUGACGGUACCUGAAGAAGAAGCACCGGCUAACUACGUAGCCAGCAGCCGCGGU